rnacentral:lncRNA from 1 species
ACGUAUGACAUUCUUAUCAUAUGUCACACUAGAGACCUAAUAUAAGAACUCAAAAAUUUCCAUUUCUCUUUAAAACUUUGUUUCUCAAACUUUCUCCACCAUCUAUCUAGAUUUCUCCUCCAUUGAUCCAUCUAUUUCACCAUCAGAGACCGCGUAGGUAAUCUCGAACUUGUGAGCUUCAAAUCUGACCGGCCAAUUUCUUGUUCCGUCACCGAUAAGUACUCCUCCCUUUUCCAUGCAUCUCAAGGAUGUACUGCAUGCACAUGAUUUUUGAUUUGUAUGAGCAUUAUACUUCUUCUUUGUAAUUUCCAAGUCUGUCUAGGUCCCUAAUU